GUGGGGGACAACGUUUCGAAAGGAACGCUAAUACCGCAUACGUCCUACGGGAGAAAGCAGGGGACCUUCGGGCCUUGCGCUAUCAGAUGAGCCUAGGUCGGAUUAGCUAGUUGGUGGGGUAAUGGCUCACCAAGGCGACGAUCCGUAACUGGUCUGAGAGGAUGAUCAGUCACACUGGAACUGAGACACGGUCCAAACUCAUACGGGAGGCAGCAGUGGGGAAUAUUGGACAAUGGGCGAAAGCCUGAUCCAGCCAUGCCGCGUGUGUGAAGAAGGUCUUCGGAUUGUAAAGCACUUUAAGUUGGGAGGAAGGGCAGUAAGUUAAUACCUUGCUGUUUUGACGUUACCGACAGAAUAAGCACCGGCUAACUCUGUGCCAGCAGCCGCGGUAAUACAGAGGGUGCAAGCGUUAAUCGGAAUUACUGGGCGUAAAGCGCGCGUAGGUGGUUUGUUAAGUUGGAUGUGAAAGCCCCCGGGCUCAACCUGGGAACUGCAUCCAAAACUGGCAAGCUAGAGUACGGUAGAGGGUGGUGGAAUUUCCUGUGUAGCGGUGAAAUGCGU
rnacentral:rRNA from 10 species